GGCAAAGCCAAAUGGGUCAUCUGAGGGGCCAGCGCCUGAGCUGGAAGGAUCAAACAAAUCUGCCUCUGCCGGAUCUCUGCCCAAAUGUCGGAUAAAGAAAUCUGCUCGGUCCAGUCGCUGGGUCAAACUGUCAAUCUGUGUCAAAUGAGUCGAAUCUCGGACAAAGGCUAGCCAAUUCGUAAUCAUCACAGAUCCUGGAACCAUAUCCCAUAAGAACUGAGUGGCGUGGGUCUGGGCUCCAAUAGUACGAGGGACCACCAAUACUGGAACAUCUCCUGAGUGCAGGGACC
rnacentral:lncRNA from 1 species